GGUCCCGCCUGCCCAGUGACUCUUUAAACGGCCGCGGUAUCCUAACCGUGCAAAGGUAGCAUAAUCACUUGUCCCCUAAAUAGGGACUAGAAUGAACGGCUAAAUGAGGACAAAACUGUCUCUUACGGACUGGCCAAUGAAAUUGAUCCUCCAGUACAAAAGCUGGAAUAAACCCAUAAGACGAGAAGACCCUGUGGAGCUUCAAAACCAAAACCACUAAACAUGCUUCUUAGGUUUUUAGUUGGGGCGACUUUGGAGCAAAAAAAACCCUCCAAAACAUGAACUUAAUUAUUAAGAUUAACACACCAAAAAUAAUUUUACUAGACCCAGCAAUGCUUAUAUUGUCUGACCAAUGAACCAAGUUACCCCAGGGAUAACAGCGCCAUCCUCUUCUAGAGUCCCUAUCGACAAGAGGGUUUACGACCUCGAUGUUGGAUCAGGACACCCCUAUAGUGCAGCCGCUAUAAAAGGUUCGUUUGUUCAACGAUUAAAGUCCUA
rnacentral:rRNA from 1 species